rnacentral:lncRNA from 1 species
AAAGAAGGACACCAUCAUACUGGGAGAAAUGUUCUGAAACCCUCCUAGUUGCAGCUAUCAAGAAGAGAAAUAUUAAGGUGAAAAAAGGGCUGAACUCUCCUCAGAUUCCUGACAUUACAGAGCAUGGGUUGGGGCAAUCCCAGGCACAGCUACAGGUUGGGUGGAGAAGAGAUUCAGAGCAGCCCUGCAGAGAAGGACUUGAGGGUGUAAGUUGAAGAGAAACUGAACAUGAGCUGACAGCGUGCGCUUGCAGCCCAGAAAGCCAGCCGUAUCCUGGGCUGCAUCAAAAGAAGCGUGACCAGCAGGUCGAAGGAGGUGGUCCUGCCCCUCUACUCUGCUCUCAUGAGACCUCACUUGGAGUAUUGUGUACAGUUCUGGUGUCCUCAACAUAAAAAGGACAUGGAGCUGUUGGAGCAAGUCCAGAGGAAGGCCACGAGGAUGAUAAGAGGGCUGGAGCACCUCCCGUAUGAAGGCAGGCUGAGAGAGUUGGGGCUGUUCAGCCUGGAGAAGAGAAGGCUGUGUGGAGACCUGACAGCAGACUUCCGGUAUCUGAAGGAGGAUCUACAUCCUGAUUUCCUGCUUUAUGCUACUUCUAAUAAGCUGCACAAUGGAAAAGAACCGAGAAAUUAAUUGCCAAAAGCUUGUAUGUGUUGAUAUUGCACAGGAAAAUCUGCUUUUCAUCUUUUUAACCAGCUCACUUCACAAUACAAAACCUAGUGAAGUGACAGCAUGUCAUAGUCUGUGUGAGAGAGGCAUCAAGAUGUUGGAGAGGUUUUCUAAAAUCUGGCAAACAUUCUGAAGAAAGAUCACCCUUGACCUCUUUCUUAUUCACGUUUUGUAAGAUUCUAUUAAAAGCUAUUUUCAAAGUUCA